rfam:Salmo salar isolate Sally breed double haploid chromosome ssa16, whole genome shotgun sequence.
UGCACUCACUACUGUAAGUCGCUCUGGAUAAGAGCAUCUGCUAAAUGUCUAAAA